rnacentral:rRNA from 1 species
GACGAACCGUGCGAACGUUGUUCGGAAUCACUGGGCUUAAAGGGCGCGUAGGCGGGUUUGCAAGUCUGCGGUGAAAGCCUCCAGCUCAACUGGAGAAGUGCCGUGGAUACGGCGGACCUCGAGGAGGGUAGGGGCAUCUGGAACGUUGGGUGGAGCGGUGAAAUGCGUUGAUAUCCAACGGAACUCCGGUGGCGAAGGCGAGGUGCUGGACCCUUUCUGACGCUGAGGCGCGAAAGCUAGGGGAGCAAACGGG